rnacentral:rRNA from 1 species
UACGGAGGGUGCUAGCGUUUUUCGGAUUUACUGGGCGUAAAGCGCGUGUAGGCGGUACAUUAAGUCAGCUGUUAAAUUCCCGAGCUUAACUCGGGAAAGUCGGCUGAUACUGAUGUGCUAGAGUGCAGAAGAGGCAACUGGAAUUCUCGGUGUAGCGGUGAAAUGCGUAGAUAUCGAGAGGAACACCGGAGGCGAAGGCGAGUUGCUGGUCUGACACUGACGCUGAGACGCGAAAGCUAGGGGAGCAAACAGG